UGCCCCAUAGUCUGGGAUACCACUUGGAAACAGGUGCUAAUACCGGAUAAGAAAGCGGAUCGCAUGAUCAGCUUUUAAAAGGCGGCGUAAGCUGUCGCUAUGGGAUGGCCCCGCGGUGCAUUAGCUAGUUGGUAAGGUAAAGGCUUACCAAGGCGAUGAUGCAUAGCCGAGUUGAGAGACUGAUCGGCCACAUUGGGACUGAGACACGGCCCAAACUCCUACGGGAGGCAGCAGCU
rnacentral:rRNA from 1 species